GAGGGAAACCGAGUCUUAACCGGGCGUUAAGUUGCAGGGUAUAGACCCGAAACCCGGUGAUCUAGCCAUGGGCAGGUUGAAGGUUGGGUAACACUAACUGGAGGACCGAACCGACUAAUGUUGAAAAAUUAGCGGAUGACCUGUGGCUGGGGGUGAAAGGCCAAUCAAACCGGGAGAUAGCUGGUUCUCCCCGAAAGCUAUUUAGGUAGCGCCUCGUGAAUUCAUCUCCGGGGGUAGAGCACUGUUUCGGCUAGGGGGCCAUCCCGGCUUACCAACCCGAUGCAAACUGCGAAUACCGGAGAAUGUUAUCACGGGAGACACACGGCGGGUGCUAACGUCCGUCGUGAAGAGGGAAACAACCCAGACCGCCAGCUAAGGUCCCAAAGUCAUGGUUAAGUGGGAAACGAUGUGGGAAGGCCCAGACAGCCAGGAUGUUGGCUUAGAAGCAGCCAUCAUUUAAAGAAAGCGUAAUAGCUCACUGGUCGAGUCGGCCUGCGCGGAAGAUGUAACGGGGCUAAACCAUGCACCGAAGCUGCGGCAGCGACGCUGAUGCGUUGUUGGGUAGGGGAGCGUUCUGUAAGCCUGCGAAGGUGUGUCGUGAGGCAUGCUGGAGGUAUCAGAAGUGCGAAUGCUGACAUAAGUAACGAUAAAGCGGGUGAAAAGCCCGCUCGCCGGAAGACCAAGGGUUCCUGUCCAACGUUAAUCGGGGCAGGGUGAGUCGACCCCUAAGGCGAGGCCGAAAGGCGUAGUCGAUGGGAAACGGGUUAAUAUUCCCGUACUUGGUGUUACUGCGAAGGGGGGACGGAGAAGGCUAUGUUGGCCGGGCGACGGUUGUCCCGGUUUAAGCGUGUAGGUGUGUGUUCCAGGUAAAUCCGGUUCACUUUAACACUGAGGCGUGAUGACGAGGCACUACGGUGCUGAAGCAACAAAUGCCCUGCUUCCAGGAAAAGCCUCUAAGCAUCAGGUAACAUCAAAUCGUACCCCAAACCGACACAGGUGGUCAGGUAGAGAAUACCAAGGCGCUUGAGAGAACUCGGGUGAAGGAACUAGGCAAAAUGGUGCCGUAACUUCGGGAGAAGGCACGCUGACACGUAGGUGAAGUGAUUUACUCAUGGAGCUGAAGUCAGUCGAAGAUACCAGCUGGCUGCAACUGUUUAUUAAAAACACAGCACUGUGCAAACACGAAAGUGGACGUAUACGGUGUGACGCCUGCCCGGUGCCGGAAGGUUAAUUGAUGGGGUCAGCGCAAGCGAAGCUCCUGAUCGAAGCCCCGGUAAACGGCGGCCGUAACUAUAACGGUCCUAAGGUAGCGAAAUUCCUUGUCGGGUAAGUUCCGACCUGCACGAAUGGCGUAAUGAUGGCCAGGCUGUCUCCACCCGAGACUCAGUGAAAUUGAACUCGCUGUGAAGAUGCAGUGUACCCGCGGCAAGACGGAAAGACCCCGUGAACCUUUACUAUAGCUUGACACUGAACAUUGAGCCUUGAUGUGUAGGAUAGGUGGGAGGCUUUGAAGUGUGGACGCCAGUCUGCAUGGAGCCGGCCUUGAAAUACCACCCUUUAAUGUUUGAUGUUCUAACGUGGACCCGUGAUCCGGGUUGCGGACAGUGUCUGGUGGGUAGUUUGACUGGGGCGGUCUCCUCCUAAAGAGUAACGGAGGAGCACGAAGGUUGGCUAAUCCUGGUCGGACAUCAGGAGGUUAGUGCAAUGGCAUAAGCCAGCUUGACUGCGAGCGUGACGGCGCGAGCAGGUGCGAAAGCAGGUCAUAGUGAUCCGGUGGUUCUGAAUGGAAGGGCCAUCGCUCAACGGAUAAAAGGUACUCCGGGGAUAACAGGCUGAUACCGCCCAAGAGUUCAUAUCGACGGCGGUGUUUGGCACCUCGAUGUCGGCUCAUCACAUCCUGGGGCUGAAGUAGGUCCCAAGGGUAUGGCUGUUCGCCAUUUAAAGUGGUACGCGAGCUGGGUUUAGAACGUCGUGAGACAGUUCGGUCCCUAUCUGCCGUGGGCGCUGGAGAACUGAGGGGGGCUGCUCCUAGUACGAGAGGACCGGAGUGGACGCAUCACUGGUGUUCGGGUUGUCAUGCCAAUGGCACUGCCCGGUAGCUAAAUGCGGAAGAGAUAAGUGCUGAAAGCAUCUAAGCACGAAACUUGCCCCGAGAUGAGUUCUCCCUGAGACUUAGAGUCUCCUGAAGGAACGUUGAAGACGACGACGUUGAUAGGCCGGGUGUGUAAGCGCAGCGAUGCGUUGAGCUAACCGGUACUAAUGAACCGUGAGGCUUAACCUUACAACGCCGAAG
rnacentral:rRNA from 1 species